rnacentral:rRNA from 1 species
UACGAAGGAGGCUAGCGUUGCUCGGAAUCACUGGGCGUAAAGGGUGCGUAGGCGGGUUUUUAAGUCAGGGGUGAAAUCCUGGAGCUCAACUCCAGAACUGCCUUUGAUACUGAAGAUCUUGAGUCCGGGAGAGGUGAGUGGAACUGCGAGUGUAGAGGUGAAAUUCGUAGAUAUUCGCAAGAACACCAGUGGCGAAGGCGGCUCACUGGCCCGGUACUGACGCUGAGGCACGAAAGCGUGGGGAGCAAACAGG